rnacentral:rRNA from 1 species
UACGUAGGGUGCAAGCGUUGUCCGGAAUUAUUGGGCGUAAAGAGCUCGUAGGCGGUUUGUCGCGUCUGCUGUGAAAACUCGGGGCUUAACUCCGGGCCUGCAGUGGGUACGGGCAGACUAGAGUGCGGUAGGGGAGACUGGAAUUCCUGGUGUAGCGGUGAAAUGCGCAGAUAUCGGGAGGAACACCGGUGGCGAAGGCGGCCCACUGGAUCGGUACUGACGCUGAGGUGCGAAAGCGUGGGGAGCGAACAGG